AGCUUCGGGGUGUUUGGCACAUCAGAUUGCAAAUCUGAAGGCGCGGGCUAAUUGCCUGCCGGGGCUU
rnacentral:tRNA from 1 species